rnacentral:rRNA from 1 species
CCUAUUUACGUUUGAGAAAUGGGGUGACGCAGUAGGAUAAGAUGUGCGCACUAUUGGAUGUGCGUCUAAGCACUUAGGCAUGCUUGAUAGGCAAAUCCGUCGAGCUAAGCUGAGGUGUGAUGGGGAGCCAUUUAUGGCGAAGUAUCUGAUUCCACACUGCCAAGAAAAGCCUCUAUCGAGUGAAUAGGUGCCCGUACCGCAAACCGACACAGGUAGGUGAGGAGAGAAUCCUAAGGCCAUCGGAAGAAUUGCUGUUAAGGAACUCGGCAAAUUGACCCCGUAACUUCGGGAGAAGGGGUGCCUACGAAAGUAGGCCGCAGAGAAUAGGCCCAAGCAACUGUUUAGCAAAAACACAGGUCUCUGCUAAAGCGAAAGCUGAUGUAUAGGGGCUGACGCCUGCCCGGUGCUGGAAGGUUAAGGGGAACACUUAGCGUAAGCGAAGGUGUGAACUUAAGCCCCAGUAAACGGCGGCCGUAACUAUAACGGUCCUAAGGUAGCGAAAUUCCUUGUCGGGUAAGUUCCGACCCGCACGAAUGGCGUAAUGAUUUGGGCACUGUCUCAACAGCAAAUCCGGCGAAAUUGUAGUGCAAGUGAAGAUGCUUGCUACCCGCGAU